rnacentral:rRNA from 2 species
UCAGAUCAUGUAAGAUUUUAAUGAUCGAACAGAUCAAAAUUUUAAACUUUUGCAUUUAAAUUUUAUCUUAAUCCAACAUCGAGGUCGCAAACUUUUUUUUUUAUUUGAACUAAAAAAAAAUAUUACGCUGUUAUCCCUAAGGUAAUUUUUUCUUAUAAUCAUUAUUAAUGGAUCAUUUAAUCAUUUAUUUAUGUUUAAUUUUUAAAAAAAGUUUAUCAUAUUUUUCUAUCACCCCAAUAAAAUAAAUAAUUUUAUUUUAAUAAAAAAUUUAAUAUAAUUUUAAAAUAAAAAUAAAUAUAAAACUCUAUAGGGUCUUCUCGUCUUUUAAAAUUAUUUUAGCUUUUUAACUAAAAAAUAAAUUUCUAAAAAUAAAUAAGAGACAGUCUAUAUUUCAUCAAAUCUUUCAUACAAGUUUCCAAUUAAAAAACUAUUGAUUAUGCUACCUUUGUACAGUCAUUAUACUGCAGCCCUUUAAUAAUUAUCAGUGGGCAGAUUAGACUUUAAAUUAUAUUCAAAAAGACAUGUUUUUG